GUCGGAGUGGCGGAAUGGUAGACGCGCAGCGUUCAGAACGCUGUGUUCGUAAGGACUUGGAGGUUCGAGUCCUCUCUCCGACA
rnacentral:tRNA from 1 species